CCCUUAGAUGUCCUGGGCCGCACGCGCGCUACACUGAACGGAUCAGCGCGUUUUCCCUUCCCGAGAGGGACGGGUAACCUGCUGAACCCCGUUCGUGGUAGGGAUCGGGGCUUGCAAUUAUUAAUCUUCAACGAGGAAUGCCUAGUAAGCGCAAGUCAUCAGCUUGCGUUGAUUACGUCCCUGCCCUUUGUACACACCGCCCGUCGCUCCUACCGAUUGAAUGGUCCGGUGAAGCGUUCGGACCGUGGCCUUUGGACGGUUCGCCGUCUGUUGGCUGCGGGAAGUUCGUUAAACCUUAUCAUUUAGAGGAAGGAGAAGUCGUAACA
rnacentral:rRNA from 1 species